UUGUCUGCGCGUUGCGGGCCUCUAAAUGCGUGUGGUGUUACGUAUACAGGGACCUUGUAGCAUUCCAAGUCAGAAUCAAUCGCCAGUGCUCUUCAGCCGUCCGCAUGGGCGACUGAAUCCAAUUGGCCUGUGCUAUCGGUUGCGGCGGCAGCCUUGAUUUUCUAUUAUUCUAUAAUACAGGUUCAUUACAUACACGCAUAGAUACUGUAGCUGCUUGCUAUAGACGUUGCGUCUUCGCUACAAAGUUCUUUGGCAUGGUUUGGCUGCCGUCACGCCGCGCGCUGCUUAUCGUCGCAUCUAGAUCGCUUCGGGAACCAAGCAUCAUGGAGCUACGACCGCUGCCGCGUAAGUAGAGGUCGGGGGUAAUUCAUGAUGGCCUGCAACGGUGGGGCUGCGCUCUGCUGUGCGUCAAAAUCUGCCAGGAACGUUUGCCAGGAGGUGUCUCAAUUCAGUCUGGCAGCUCCGCCAUAGAUUUUGGCUGCAACGGCCCCGCCAUGGUGACAGGGAGAGGUAUAGUAUGGCCGCAUAUGGGGGAUCUGUGCAUGUUGACCAUUCUAUAAAAAAACCCAUACUCUGGGCCCAUGGCAUGCUGCGGUCACGCAGGAGGGUGGUAAGGCGGCAGCACUGGUAGCAAAUGAUAGCUAGUGUGUGACACCAAACACUUGGUUUGGACACUAGCAUAUGCAGCAGAUACAGCAGGGGCACACAUGCCCUGAACCAUUUGAUCCCAGCGAAAUUUGAGGCGUGGAAACACGCCGGUUUAAUAGUAGGCAAGGCAGGUGUCCCCACCCUUGAAUUGGCAUGCACGCGGGCAUAACACGUGCUUCUAAGCGCGCUGACACGCGGUUUGAAUUGUAUCCUGCAUUGCUAAUGCGCUGCACGAAGUAUUUUAUGGAUUGUAGAUGCCCCCACGCUGGCUACAGCGCCCUGAGCGCGACACCCCGACCCGAGCACGCGCGAGCAUGCUCGCGGCCCAAACUGUGGGCCAUGGCGCUGCUCGCUGCCAUUUAGCCCGGCCGAAGCGCUGAAGUAUCCUAUGCAAUACAACAAGAGUUAAGAGUGCUUGUACGCUGACUAUGGCGCCCUGAGAGCGACACCCGGACGCGAGCACGCGCGAGCAUGCUCGCAGCUCGUAGUAUGCCGCGCCAGUCACGGAAGAGCAGCUAGAUGCGCAUCCUAGUGGCAGCACAUAAAGCCCAGCAAGAGACCCUGGCAUUGUUCUGGGGCUCCAGCCUUGGGGCUGGUCGCCGAUGAGCCUGAGCCAUUUUGCAAGGAGCUGCUGGCUCUUCCCUGUUGACCAGCAGGAGUAGUCUGCUUUUGUAUGUCAUCAUCAUUGCGAUGGCCAAUAAAAGCGGUGCCGCUUCAGGCUGGGACUACCCAGCCCAUGCCGCAGCUGUGCACUGGGCGCUGCGGCUGCUCCGGCAUCUGCGGCUAGGGCCGCUGUGCUAGGAAUCCCAAAUCCGCGGUCUGCACCGCUAGCACUGGCGGCAGGAGUCUGGAGUGGGCACACAAAUGGGGAUUGGUUUGUAAAUAAACGUGCGCGACACAAAGUACACGGCGCUAAUUACCUCCUCCUUGCUCUGAGGCACGUCACUGCAGCCCUGACUCACCUGCAAGCCCCCAGCGUCCUCAGCCUCGCCCGCAGCAAUGCCAGCGCCCGCCGCCGCGUCGGCACCUCCUGCGGCGCCAGGGGACUGCCUACCGGCUGUGGCAGCGCGUCGGCGUCUCUGCACCUUACCGAGAGGCGCCUGCGGCCAUGGCACGCGGAAAGGGGACGUUAGGCAUCGGCCGGAAUACCGCGCCAUAGAACGCAGAGGGAGGUGAACUACUCCCAUUUGCUCUGAGGCACGUCACUGCAGCCCUAACUCACCUGCAAGCCCCCAGUGUCCGCAGCACCUGCCACCGCGUCGGCACCUCCUGCGGCGCCAGGGGACUGCCCACCGGCUGUGGCAGCGCGUCGGCGUCUCUGCACCUUACCGGGAGGCGCCUGCGGCCAUGGCACGCGGAAAGGGGACGUUGGGCAUCGGCCGGAAUACCGCGCCAUAGAACGCAGAGGGAGGUGAACUACUCCCAUUUGCUCUGAGGCACGUCACUGCAGUCCUGACUCACCUGCAAGCCCCCAGUGUCCGCAGCGCCUGCCACCGCGUCGGCAACUCCUGCGGCGCCAGGGGACUGCCCACCGGCUGUGGCAGCGCGUCGGCGUCUGUGCACCUUACCGGGAGGCGCCUGCGGCCAUGGCACGCGGAAAGGGGACGUUAGGCAUCGGCCGGAAUACCGCGCCAUAGAACGCAGAGGGAGGUGAACUACUCCCAUUUGCUCUGAGGCACGUCACUGCAGCCCUGACUCCCCUGCAAGCCCCCAGCGUCCGCAGCGCCUGCCACCGCGUCGGCACCUCCUGCGGCGCCAGGGGACUGCCCACCGGCUGUGGCAGCGCGUCGGCGUCUCUGCACCUUACCGGGAGGCGCCUGCGGCCAUGGCACGCGGAAAGGGGACGUUAGGCAUCGGCCGGAAUACCGCGCCAUAGAACGCAGAGGGAGGUGAACUACUCCCAUUUGCUCUGAGGCACGUCACUGCAGCCCUGACUCCCCUGCAAGCCCCCAGCGUCCGCAGCCUCGCCCGCAGCAAUGCCAGCGCCCGCCGCCGGUUCACCAGUUGCACUGGCCGGAUCGUGGUCGGCCUCCUCGUCACCGUCCUCGUCUUCUCCUGCCUGCAGAAGGCAUGCAUCGUUGAAGGUCACUGUGGACGUAGGUCUCUAGAUAAGAUACCGGUAUCCCAUGAGGUAAUCACACCUCGCCACGCUCGGCUUUUGCACACUCCCUGAGUGCGUGCCCUACCACGUGGCCGGGAGCCUUAAACAGCCCCCGCAUAGUCUUGAGGAUGUCCGACUUCUGCUCCCAGCACUUGGCCUCUGAAGCUUCCGACGGCAGCACGUCGUACACGAGCCGCUUGAGGAAUGAGUUGGCGCCGAUGUACUCAACAAGCUCGCAGCACGCGUCCUGGCAUUUAGUCUUGUUCCAGGUUGAGGGGUUGCACUUGAGAAGGAUGCCCACGUUAGCCUGCGAUUGGUGUCGGUAUUGUCAUCAGGCGCGGCGUCCCUGGGGUUAUGUAUACAGACAUACAUGCACUUGACACCAUGCAUUCUCACCGGUGGCAACGCUGUGCCGUCUCCGUCUGGCCCAGCCUGAACUCCACCACCCCCGCUGCCAUCCCUGACAGCCGCUGCUGCUGCCUGUGCAGGACCACCAAAGGCGUUGGGUCGGGGCGGCAUGCAUCCAGCGUGCAAGGCCGGCGGGCGAUUGGAGGACGCAUGGGAAACCAUACAAGCACAUACGCACUGCUGCCUAAGGGCGACGCAGCAAUCCUUCCACACCCACCUGCUGCACGCCACCUCCGGUCCCACCAGCGUCGGCGCCGUCUACGCCCGCUGCAGCUGCUGCCGAGGCGGCGCUAGGCCCCGCGCCGCCGCCGCCUCCUGUGGACGCGCCAGGUGCGGUGGUGGCGGCCGUAGGGGCUGUGGUGCCGCCGUCGGCAGGGGCGCCGGCGGUCCCCGCAGCGUGUUGCGGACCAGGAGGUGCGGGCGCCGCUGCGGGCGCCUGCGUAGGUGAAGCCAAGACGAAAAGCGUGUGAGCGAGGGCAGGGGCUAGCAGGCCAGUGGAGGGAGCACGCUUCCAGCCAGGACAGGGGUCGUAACAGCACAAGCACAAGCGCGCUGACGGUGAUCCAUCAAGGUCCAUCACAUCAAUUACCGGCGCCCGAUGGCUGGAGCGGCGUUCCCAAAAGGCCACCAGCUGCGUCACUUGCCCACCCGCUGCGCCAGUCUUCCCUCCAGCAGUGGCCGCGCUGCUGGGCUCGGCAGCGCUGCUGGGCCCGGCAGCGCUGCCGNNNNNNNNNNNNNNNNNNNNNNNNNNNNNNNNNNNNNNNNNNNNNNNNNNNNNNNNNNNNNNNNNNNNNNNNNNNNNNNNNNNNNNNNNNNNNNNNNNNNUGUCGGUAUUGUCAUCAGGCGCGGCGUCCCUGGGGUUAUGUAUACAGACAUACAUGCACUUGACACCAUGCAUUCUCACCGGUGGCAACGCUGUGCCGUCUCCGUCUGGCCCAGCCUGAACUCCACCACCCCCGCUGCCAUCCCUGACAGCCGCUGCUGCUGCCUGUGCAGGACCACCAAAGGCGUUGGGUCGGGGCGGCAUGCAUCCAGCGUGCAAGGCCGGCGGGCGAUUGGAGGACGCAUGGGAAACCAUACAAGCACAUACGCACUGCUGCCUAAGGGCGACGCAGCAAUCCUUCCACACCCACCUGCUGCACGCCACCUCCGGUCCCACCAGCGUCGGCGCCGUCUACGCCCGCUGCAGCUGCUGCCGAGGCGGCGCUAGGCCCCGCGCCGCCGCCGCCUCCUGUGGACGCGCCAGGUGCGGUGGUGGCGGCCGUAGGGGCUGUGGUGCCGCCGUCGGCAGGGGCGCCGGCGGUCCCCGCAGCGUGUUGCGGACCAGGAGGUGCGGGCGCCGCUGCGGGCGCCUGCGUAGGUGAAGCCAAGACGAAAAGCGUGUGAGCGAGGGCAGGGGCUAGCAGGCCAGUGGAGGGAGCACGCUUCCAGCCAGGACAGGGGUCGUAACAGCACAAGCACAAGCGCGCUGACGGUGAUCCAUCAAGGUCCAUCACAUCAAUUACCGGCGCCCGAUGGCUGGAGCGGCGUUCCCAAAAGGCCACCAGCUGCGUCACUUGCCCACCCGCUGCGCCAGUCUUCCCUCCAGCAGCGGCUUCACCGGCAGCCGUCGUGCCGUGAGGCGCAGCUGCCGCAGUCUGCCUGACCUUGUUGAACUGCAUACGUAUGCCAUCAGGAAGAGGUGUGUGUCAGUGCAUAAGUGCCAGCAGUCGAUGCGAGCGUCGGCUUUGGUCUCCAGCCGUACCUCUUAUGCUCACCUUGGGUCCGACGACCAGCAGCACCCUGAGCCCACGCUUGGUGAUUGCGAUGAGUGACUUGGCGGUGGAGCGCAGCAUCGGUACGGUGAAUUGGCUCUGCGCCAUCAACGCCUUGAGUCCCAACGUCCUGUUGCCAGGAGAGAGCUCUGCAAGUAAUGUUGGCGGCCACACGGCCAGGCAUGCUUGGUAUUCUUGAAUAUGGCUAACAAUCCCCCGAGUCUGUAUCCGCCCCCAACCCGACACGCCGUGCGUAGCCUGCUGCCUGUAGCCUACCCGGCACGUCCUCCGUAAUCCGGUAAUUAAGUGCUCGCUGCAUCACAGCGAUCAUCGCCUGCUCCAACGUGCAGUCAGGGCCUAGCAUGGCCACGAGGGCCGCCAGCGUUGUGGUGCUGAGGAACUCUUGGAGCUCCUGUGGCUCCGCGGCUGUCUUGUGGGCGACACCCGUCUGGUCUACAGCAAAGUUGCACAUGGCGAGGUUGCCCCGCCCGCUGUUCAAGUGAGCCACCACCGCCCGGCCCAUCCGCUUCAUCAUCAGCUUAAUUUGGCGGACUGUCACGCGGCGAGCCUUCCCCCUGAGAGUGCGCGAGGUGCCGUCCGCCCGCCGGCGACCGCCCACGCGGAUGCCGCGAGUUGGUGAGCCCAAUGAGUGCAGGGAGCGCGGCGAGGGGGGCUCGGCACCGCCGCUGGCAUCACCAGCACGCGCACCAGUCAGCUGGAAGAGGAGCUUGAUUUUGGCGCCGAGCCUCGCGCCAAGCGCGCCCGUACCCGCUGUCGCGUUAAGCUCCUGCGAGAUAUCGCUGGCAAGAUGACGUGCGGCGAGGAACUGGCCUGCGAACACAAGGAGGCGUUAGUUAAGGGUUGUUCCCACGACAUGCGAAUCGUUUCGACCACCGAACGACCGAACGUCACAUACCUUCUGCUUGAUCCAACUUAGCGCCUGGAAUCUGAGUUUGCAGCUCUUGUCUAAUGCCGUCAACCUCCGGGUCCCUGUCACCGCCGCUCCAGUCACUAGCAUCUGUCCCAACUGUGUCAGCAUCACUGUCAUCGCUGUUCUGCUCCAUUCUUAAUUUUUUCUGCUCAUUUGCUUGUCGUUACUGGUAGGACAUCCAUUCUGCCGGGCAGGAGCGGGCUUGCACCGGGUCAACCAGGUAUUGACGCCUACAGGUACAUGUACAUACAUCUGCAAAUACUGGGAUGGCUAUUAUAACUGUGUUCAUAAUUCGUGCUCAAACCCUUCGGUUAGAUUCUGAGAGGACGUUCCCAUGCAUCCUCGAGCACCAAGCCACACACACAGACACUGAAAUACUCCAAAGAUUCACUUGCAUGAUAUCGGCAACGCCAUACAUUCAAAAUACUCUGGCGAGCAACUGCGGUCAAAGCUGCGCGAACUCGGCCUGGAACUCGGCUUAAAGCCGGCCGCCUUACUUAGCCAUCAAAUGACCACCUCGCACUGACGGAGAAACGAAAGCAGACUACUCCUGCUGGUCAACAGGGAAGAGCCAGCAGCUCCUUUGCAAGAUGGCUUAAACUCAACCGCGACCGGCCCCGAGGCUGGAGCCCCAGAACAAUGCCAGGGUCGCUUGCUGGGCUUUAUGUGCUGCCACUAGGAUGCGCAUCUAGCUGCUCUUCCGUGACUGGCGCGGCUCUCAGCGCCACGGCCCACAGUUUGGGCCGCGAGCAUGCUCGCGCGUGCUCGCAUCGGGGUGUCGCUCUCAGGGCGCCAUAGUCAGCGCAAAAGCACUCUUAACUCUUGUUGUAUUGCAUAGGAUACUUCAGCGCUUCGGCCGGGCUAAAUGGGCUGUUUUAAGCGAAGGCUCCAGGAGCUUGCCGACUGACCGGAGCUUAAAACAAGUUUUGAAGUAGGGAGCAGUGUUUGAGCGGGAGGUGGUUCAGUUGCAGGGGGUAAGAAGUGCAGGGCCCGGGGUUUCGUGUGUCGCUCUGAAGGCCGCAUGCAUCACAUCGAGGUCUCAAAUGCUGUCUUUCUGUGUGGUUUGUUUUAUAAAGUUACGUUUGCGUACGGUAGCUGUGGCGACAAAAGAUGUACUUCGUAAAUCCGCGGCUGACCCAUCUUUGCUACUGCAGAGGAAAGAGUAGAAAGUGCCGCACUGCAACAGGUUCCUGCUUUCCCCAAUCCCUGCCAGUGCGUGCGUGUGUGUGUGUCCCAUGCCCCUCGGGUAGCCCAGGUUCGCCAACACCGCCCCUUCCACCAAGGGCCCACGGUCCAGCAAGGAUCCCGUCUUGAACAUGGCGAGCCCAAGCCACUACGUAUAGCUUCCAGCGGCGCCGAGACGUGAGUCGCGGCGCUGCUCGUCCAAGUUCCACCGACCAAGACCAAUCAAGAUCCAAGGCCAUUGUGGAUCAGCAAAAAUAUGAUAAAUAGUUGAGCGAGAUGAUGAGCAUAGCAGCGGCAUUAGGCCGCGUCGAGUUGGUUGAUCUAGUAGUUCGCGAUCGAAGUUUCCGGACUUGCUCGAUGUUUCUAGUGGCGCCCCGGGCUAGCCUAGAAUGUUCGAAGAAGUUGUUUAGCACACCCACCAUCGAGCGACGUUUUGGGUAGUUGACGAGGUCGGUUGAAGGUGUGGCACGCCCGCCACCGGAAGUAGUUACCUAGCGAUAUCUAGGGGCCUGACGCACAUUCCAGGUCGACUCCCACAGCUGCACAGCACCUAGCGUUGCCUGAGGAAGCCUAAGACUACGACUAAGCAGCCCGAGACGCUAGCGGUAGCCGCCCCCCUCACAACUAGGUCGCACCAAGCCUGUGCUUAGCUGGCUCCUUGCCCGAACAUUCGUGGCCAACUCUGACUCCACAGCCUGGUUGCAUCAAGGCACCAGGGCUCGUUUGGCGUGUGCUGUGUCUUGCGGUCACAACCCGUGGCUGACUGCAGCAUACUUGUAACGGUUGAGUGCAAAUUCCCCUUCGCGGGUUGCCCCUUCCCCUUCCCCUGCGACCGACGCGUGCGGACCGGACUGGACCUAAGCCCUUCGCCAUAGUGCGCGGCCUCUAGUGUGUCAGGCUUCCCCCGUCACCCCGGCGCCUACAGUCUCCCUUCUCUGGUCUCCCUUCGAGAUUGCAACAUCCUACUGUGAUCCAGCCUCUGCCUCCCUUCUCCCUCCACCGGUUUCCCUUCGAGAUUGCGACCGACUACCGCUCCCGGCUCCUGCUUUCUUCUGCCAGCCAUCUGGUCUGCAUACGGUAUCCUCCAGCCUUGGGUGCAAGCAGCUCGCAUCUGUUGUACCGACUUGCCUGCCUGUGCCUGCAGUCUGUAGCACUCGCAUAGGAUUGCUUGCUUGUAAGCGCACAAACCUGUUGUACAGACUUGCUUGCCUGGGAGCUUAGCUUGCUCAGCUCAGCCGGGUUGCGCAUCAGCAGCGCGUACGACUCCAGCGGGUACUCAGCCUUAUAGGGUAGUCUCGCUCCUCUCUCCUAUCCAAAACCUCUGGCGUUCUACACGCCCUAACAACUAUGCCCAGGCUCCACCUGAGGCUACGGCUUCUAUCCCCUCUUUCUCUCGUGCAGGUCCGGCCAGCCGGUCGCCAAGUCUCUCUCCCUUCUCUCUCUCCCUAUCCCUUUCCUUUACAGGUUCCCCAGCUCUCCUUGUACAUACGACUGAAUCAUCUCUCGACCACACCUCUGGUAUCUCCGACUAUUGCAGUGAUCGCCGCAGGCGCAUCUUGAUCACCCCGCAAGUGCCCAGGACAGCGGCUGGUAUACAGGGUCGGGCGUGGCGGCCGUCCAGCCUCUCCACGCUCCGUGCUCAUACCCUGGGAAGGUCAAAGCGGUGCAGGCCUGUCGUCAUACAGCUGCAUCGUGGCCAGUGCCUCAGUGACAGCCCGCGUUACAGCGCAAAAGUUUUUAUAGUUCCCGGUUUUUUUACGGGUGCUGCGCUUUUAGUGGGGGGAGUUGCGGGAAAUUGUCCUGAGCUCCUCUGCGUCCCCUUACCGUCAUUCCCAGCUUUCCUGGCUACGCCCGGAUUUAUCCGUCUACUGCGACAGCUAAAAUGGUUGACUCCGACGCCGAAUCUUCUUCAUCUGCGUCAAGCCGGCGUUCGAGCCGUUCUACCCAACUCAGGAAGGGCAUUUCGCCCUCUGCUCUUAAUGCUGUUCCCACGUUCAACCCCUCCUCUGAUGACCCGACUGAUUGGAUCGAUUCUAUUGAAAGGGUUGGACAGGUGUUUGGUUGGGACGAUCCCACCAAACUAGCCGUUGCCCGCUGCCGCCUGCUACACUCCGCCAGGGUUUGGGACUCUGCUGGUAAGGACAUCGAUUCCUGGCCGAAGUUCAGUCAAGCCUUCCUCGACCGUUUUGCCCUACGAGAAACAGAAAUCUAUGGCCAACUGGCAUCCUGCCGCCAGGGCCUACGCGAGUCAGUACGUGAUUAUUCCGACCGUUUCCGCCAUCUUCUGGCCCGUCUUGAUAUCAGGCCUGGCCGCGAUUACAUGUACCACUACCUGCGUGGGCUUCACCCCCGCACCUAUCGCAAGGUUCACCUCUUGCGCCCUCAAACUCUGGAAGAUGCGAUUGACGGCGCCAUCUACGUCAGCGAAGUUGAAGAUUGGGACGACGCCAGCACAGGGCGCAGCGCCCCGGCACCUCCCGAACGCAGGGCAGCGCUCGUAUCUUCCUUCGUUCGGAACGAAAUUUGCCCAAAAAGGCCUCUGGCGGACGAAAUGUUUUUGAUCUUGACUUGGAAUCUCGGCCAAAACGCACGGGAUCUUGGGGGGUCUUUCGGCAAACAGACGAAGACAUUUUUGGGAUUUCGGCCACUUUUGGCCAAGGACAGGGGGUUCCAGCGGCUACUCCACGGCCGAAAACUGCGUCGCAUAUGGUAAGAAGGCUCAAAGGGCUGUAUCUAUGGGUGUUGACGGCGGGAGACAGGGGUUCCCCUGGCGGGAGAGUGAGGUUGGGUCGGCGGGAAGCAGGGGAGGAGUGGGCGUGUCGUGUCGGUGUCGACAUCGUGCGGGUCGGGGGCGGAGCCCCCGGAAUAAUUUGGGGGGUGAACGAAGCGGCGGCAGCCUGUUUCGUCAACUAAACGAAGCCAUUUUAAGGAAUUCGGCCACUGACGCCGCCCCUGCCUUCGUAAGAUACGAGCGCUGACGCAGGGUGCGGUUUAAUGAACAACCGCCAAACACCCGCAGCCUACCCUCUCCGGCACCCCCCACGCCUCCUGAGACUCGCCAUGACCGCCACCGUCCACUUUCCUCCUCCCUCUCCCGCCGUGAUGACAGCGUCGUACGCCCCCGUGAUGAGAAGUACUCCUCCCGCGACAGAACCCGUGAAGACCGACUAGACCGGUAUACUGACCGUUCGCGCACGCCGCCGCGGUCCGCCUCUCCCCCAGCCCCAGCUCCUGACUCCUUUGAGCGUGAGCUGGAGGCUCUGCAGUCUAAGCUCGCCAAGAUGACGUUGGCCUACCGUCACGGCCAUGAUUUGUCCACCAAUAUGUAUGAACGUGAGGAGGAGGCUGCUGUGCCUGCAUACCUCUCCCACCGCUACGCUAGUGACUCCGACUCCAGGACCGAAGAUGGCAGGGAGUCAGAGCUGUACUCCAAUGAACACGCCGUCUUCACCACCAAGCGUAUCAGCGAUCCCGAACCCGUACGCUUGCCCAACAGGCGUGCGCCCGCAGACCCCGACGCCCAACCUAUGGAGAUCAACAACCGGCCGCCGCCACGCCGCGUCAGUACUACCCGUGCCCCGUCCAAGGCCCCUGCCGACACGCCAGCCCCCUCAACUCACCGUGCCGCGGACCCUGGGGUGCCCAUAGAUACCUCUCCCGGUUCUGCCGUCAGCAGGCCAGCCAUGCCUUCCCCCGCGCAUAAUGAAUGCAGUAACAGGGGCGACACGAUUUCCGCUGGCCAUCGUGGCGUUGGCCGCGCAACCCGUCGUCCUGGUGGUGGGACUACCCGUGCCAAAAACACCCCGGAAACACCGUCUUCAACUCCUCCUCAGCAGCGACUGCCACCUGCGGCGGUCCCUCUCAACCCGGCUACGGCCGAGCCAAGCCCGCCGCCAGUCUCUUGCACCACCUUCUUGGCCUCUCGUUCUCAAGACUUAACUGCUUCGGACCCUAUGCCCGUCCCGGAUGCGCACACCGCACGGUGGGAUUCUCUGCCUCUCUACAACCUGGACAGCCGUCUCCCCAUGUUUUCAGUGUGCCGGGCUACGGUCACACUAACCAACGCCCGUGGAGAGAAAGAGAGCAUUAGGGCAGUGGUUGACACUGGCGCCUCUUACAGUGUGGUGCCUAUGCAUAUCGUGCGCCGCCUGAACCUGCUGCCUUACGUCGCUGAAUCACGCGCCAUGUUCCUGAAUGCCGAUGGUGUCAAGAAGAAGGCAACUGGUCAAAUACGUGGCAUGCAGGUGGGGCUGGGCCAAGAUCUGAUGUACACCAUGGACAUGUACGUGUCCCAAGCCCAAAACUACGAGUUACUGCUGGGAAUGGACUUCCUGUACCCCAUCAAGGCUUCCGUGGAUUUCGGCGGCGGCCAGCGGCUGCUGUACACCAACGACUACAACCAACGCAGUCACGGGCCCAUUACUUGUGUGGUCGUCGAGGAGCCUCCUUCCCUCAAGACCUCCCUGCCCGGGCUGCAAGGAAUGCCAUCUAUCGGAUACAAUUCUGGGACCUACGGCCACGAACAGGAUGCAAUCCCCGCCCUGCAAUCCGUCAGCCAUGUGGGCCACCUGAAAGAGAAGGCAGGUAAGGCGCUGUAUACCCUCAAGAGCGCCGCUGUGGAGGCUGCCUCUACUGCCUCGUCCGGCAUGAAACAGCUACUCCAACACCUGCCGCGUACCGCUGAGGUGCGCUCUUGGUUGUUUACCACCUGGGAAAACGGGUUGACAAAAUGGACAGCCAAGGAGUACGGCACCGUGUCAAACCAGAUUACACACGACGCCGCCGUCGUAGCAAGCACCCCUAAAACGCCCCUUUCUUCCGACAGCCCUUCAAACAAGACUGCUACCGUUAAGAACCUGCCUCCCCUCGGGACGCCGCCCUUGGCGCCCGUGCGCAUCCCGCGCGCUAACCUUUCUGCCGGGCCAAGCCCUGGCUCACCUCCAACUUCUCCUGGCCUCCUCUGCGAGUCACCCGCACACUUCUCCUGCGACAUCUCUACCAACGAGGCGACGACUACAGAAUUUCCAGACAACCCGAGCGUGUCCCCCGACGGCGCGCCUGAGCCCCCGCCGACUGCCGACGAAAGUGCAGCGGCUGAGGCCUUCAUUGCCUUGGCCCAUCAGGCUGGCGCGUUCCUGCCACCUGAAGCUUCCAACGGCGCACGUUCCCCUCCUCCUUCUCGCUCCGCCUCUGCGUCUCUGAACGUGUUGGAAGGCGUUAAAGCCACAUGUCAUCAACGUGUGGGAGACGAGCUACCUGAGCUCUCGGACGGCGCCGCACCCACCACCGCCGCUCCUCCGCCGUCUUCCCGCGCUCCAAGCAAGAUGUCCCCAACCGAGCAGGAGCACAUUCGUGCAGCCGCCUUACCGCCGGUGCGUGCAAGCCCACUUAUGACCUGCGAUCAGCUGGCCCCUGCAGCAUCCCAGCAGGAGCCAGGAGUUGUGCCCCUCUUCCUUAGCGACGGGCACACUGAUGCCCGCCGUAUGGAUUUUAUCUCAGACUCCCCAGCUCGGCCUCCUCUUCCACCGCCCCAGCAGGCUGCCAACACGCCCAAGGAAGCUACGUCGUCUGAGAAAUUUACACCCGAACCGGAAUCAGCGCCUGAACCUGAGCCUGGCCCUGAACCUGAUGAGCCUCAACCCGAACCCCGCACCCUGCCACGACGCGUAAAGGUGCGCUCUGAGGCUGCACAGCACCCUCAGUCUGCCGCGGCGGCGGCCCUUGCCACCGCUGCCGCCACUCCACCUCCAGCACCCCAGCCAACCGUAACGGAAGCCCCUACAAGGCCUGUGUCGGUGUUGCCGCCGCGCCGCGUCAAUGCUUCCCAACUACCCCGUACAGAUUUGUCAACGCCGUCCGUCAGCCAAGAGAUUGCGACCGAAGUGCCCAACGCUGACCCGACCUUGUUCCCUAGUGGAGACGGACGUGAUCCAAGCCAAGCUUCCGUACACCCCAAGCCGGCUCUCGAGGAGUCGCCCGCCAUGCGCACCCAUAUGCCCAACAUGUUUGAUUUCGAGGUGAGACCCCCUGACGCUGACUGCUGUGACAGCGAACCUAUGGAAGGCCUACAGUGUGACAUCUGCGGCAAAGGAGAGCCGCCCCCAAACAACCUGCUUAUCUGCGACAGACCUGCUAAACGCCCUGCCCAUGGCUGUGACCCGUACUGCCUGUGGCCGCGGGUACUUAACGUACCAUAUGGCUCUUGGUAUUGUCCCCAACACCUGAUGGAAACGGCCAACCUCUCUGGAGGGCGUGGUGCGGACAAGGGCCCGGUACCGGCCUUACCCGGUCGUGCGUCGAGCAUAGGCCCGGUACGGGCCGCCGCCACGGCGGAAGCUGUUGCGGCCGCUGCGGCUGCCGCUGCAACUCCGCAAAACAACGGCGCUGUCAUCCCGACCGCCACCACCGUCACCAAGACUCAAGGGCGCCUGCGCGCCACCGCACAUGGAAUGGAGAAGCCCAAGGAUAAACAGUUACGCGAUCUGCCCCCCGCUACCAAAAUGUCCGUCCAACGGCCCCUACGUGUACAGAAGCUGGCAACUGCCACUGUACCUCCUAUCGUCCUGCAUCGACCCAAAACGGACCGCAACCGAAGGCCCUCCCACCAGUUUCCCCUACCAAGGUAUCUUAUUUUACUGCUGGCGCACGAGCCCAAUCAAAUGGAGGGGCCUGCGUCUCCUACAGCCGCUAGGCAACGGUGGUCAACAAUCGCCUGCUGCACGGCUCAAGAUCAUUUCAACGCGGUUUAUGUAGUGCAAGCCGACCUGCCGCCGCAAGCAAGCAGAAAUGCCUGGGUCAGCACGCUACUGGGUCAUGCAAGGGACGCAUGACUGAAGGCCCGGUAGCGACAGCUGUGGCGACAACAGAUGUACUUCGUAAAUCCGCGGCUGACCCAUCUUUGCUACUGCAGAGGAAAGAGUAGAAAGUGCCGCACUGCAACAGGUUCCUGCUUUCCCCAAUCCCUGCCAGUGCGUGCGUGUGUGUGUGUCCCAUGCCCCUCGGGUAGCCCAGGUUCGCCAACACCGCCCCUUCCACCAAGGGCCCACGGUCCAGCAAGGAUCCCGUCUUGAACAUGGCGAGCCCAAGCCACUACGUAUAGCUUCCAGCGGCGCCGAGACGUGAGUCGCGGCGCUGCUCGUCCAAGUUCCACCGACCAAGACCAAUCAAGAUCCAAGGCCAUUGUGGAUCAGCAAAAAUAUGAUAAAUAGUUGAGCGAGAUGAUGAGCAUAGCAGCGGCAUUAGGCCGCGUCGAGUUGGUUGAUCUAGUAGUUCGCGAUCGAAGUUUCCGGACUUGCUCGAUGUUUCUAGUGGCGCCCCGGGCUAGCCUAGAAUGUUCGAAGAAGUUGUUUAGCACACCCACCAUCGAGCGACGUUUUGGGUAGUUGACGAGGUCGGUUGAAGGUGUGGCACGCCCGCCACCGGAAGUAGUUACCUAGCGAUAUAUAGGGGCCUGACGCACAUUCCAGGUCGACUCCCACAGCUGCACAGCACCUAGCGUUGCCUGAGGAAGCCUAAGACUACGACCAAGCAGCCAGAGACGCUAGCGGUAGCCGCCCCGCUCACAACUAGGUCGCACCAAGCCUGUGCUUAGCUGGCUCCUUGCCUGAACAUUCGUGGCCAACUCUGACUCCACAGCCUGGUUGCAUCAAGGCACCAGGGCUCGUUUGGCGUGUGCUGUGUCUUGCGGUCACAACCCGUGGCUGACGGCAGCAUACUUGUAACGGUUGAGUGCAAAUUCCCCUUCGCGGGCUGCCCCUUCCCCUUCCCCUGCGACCGACGCGUGCGGACCGGACUGGACCUAAGCCCUUCGCCAUAGUGCGCGGCCUCUAGUGUGUCAGGCUUCCCCCGUCACCCCGGCGCCUACAGUCUCCCUUCUCCCCUUCUCUGGUCUCCCUUCGAGAUUGCAACAUCCUACUGUGAUCCAGCCUCUGCCUCCCUUCUCCCUCCACCGGUUUCCCUUCGAGAUUGCGACCGACUACCGCUCCCGGCUCCUGCUUUCUUCUGCCAGCCAUCUGGUCUGCAUACGGUAUCCUCCAGCCUUGGGUGCAAGCAGCUCGCAUCUGUUGUACCGACUUGCCUGCCUGUGCCUGCAGUCUGUAGCACUCGCAUAGGAUUGCUUGCUUGUAAGCGCACAAACCUGUUGUACAGACUUGCUUGCCUGGGAGCUUAGCUUGCUCAGCUCAGCCGGGUUGCGCAUCAGCAGCGCGUACGACUCCAGCGGGUACUCAGCCUUAUAGGGUAGUCUCGCUCCUCUCUCCUAUCCAAUACCUCUGGCGUUCUACACGCCCUAACAACUACGCCCAGGCUCCGCCUGAGGCUACGGCUUCUAUCCCCUCUUUCUCUCGUGCAGGUCCGGCCAGCCGGCCGCCACUUCUCUCUCCCUUCUCUCUCUCCCUAUCCCUUUCCUUUACAGGUUCCCCAGCUCUCCUUGUACAUACGACUGAAUCAUCUCUCGACCACACCUCUGGUAUCUCCGACUAUUGCAGUGAUCGCCGCAGGCGCAUCUUGAUCACCCCGCAAGUGCCCAGGACAGCGGCUGGUAUACAGGGUCGGGCGUGGCGGCCGUCCAGCCUCUCCACGCUCCGUGCUCAUACCCUGGGAAGGUCAAAGCGGUGCAGGCCUGUCGUCAUACAGCUGCAUCGUGGCCAGUGCCUCAGUGACAGCCCGCGUUACAGCGCAAAAGUUUUUAUAGUUCCCGGUUUUUUUACGGGUGCUGCGCUUUUAGGCGACAUAGCUGAUGAGCGAGCAACUUAUGCCGCCGUGCUUCGGAAAGCUAUCGAGUUCCUGGUUCGGAGGCCGCGUGCGCUUGCUGGCGCUCUCUUUUGUUGACUGGUAAGAUGUGAGGCAUGCACCGCUGGCGAGGCCCUUUGGCGUUUGAAUGCAGGUCAAGGGCGAGCUGGGGAUCAAAGCAGGCGCGCGCAGCAGCAGGCGCGAGUACCAGCCAGAAAAUGCGAGAGCACUAUCGUUUGAGAGAUAUCCGGCACGGAGUGGUCAGCAGCACCAGCCGCAGCGGGCGAAACCGCGUCGACAGAUCAUGUAGUCUGCGGCCGCGGCAGGCCCAGGAGGAGUCUGGGUAACGAACUCUCCCAGGAGGAGUCUGGGUGACGAACUCUCCCAGGAGGAGUCUGGGUGACGAACUCUCCCAGGAGGAGUCUGGGUGACGAACUCUCCCAGGAGGAGUCUGGGUGACGAACUCCCCCGCCCAGGGUGACUGGACCCCCAGGAGGAGUCUGGGCGACAAACUCCCCCAGCAGGAAGUCGUCUGGGUGACGAACACCCCCGGCUUAGCAUCCGGGUGACCAACUGCCGACAAAAUGACGGAUAGCUUGACGUGAAUAUGCGGCCGCAGACCAACAGCGUACCGGGAUCAGCGCGGGCGGCGAUGCGUUGCUGCAGCGGGGGGGCGGUGCUUAGCUGCGGCGGUGCUCACUGCCGCAGCUUUGGUUUUGGGGACACGGGGAGAGGGUACAGGGAUAGGCGAGGAGCCGAGGCAGCGCAUAGCUGCGGCGGUGCUCACUGCCGCAGCUGCGACGCGGAAGACAUGGGGGAAGGCCGAACGGAUGGCUGCGGCUGCGGCGGUGCUCACUGCCGCAGCGGUUCGGGAAGGGGCAUCCCACAGGAGCGGCGGCGCCGGAGCAGCCAUGCAGAAGCAGCAAUGCAGUACGCAGGAACUGGUGUGGGGGGUCAGGCCGGCAGACGGCAUGGCGGACGGGCGUAUGCUCCCCGCCAUGGAUUUUCCGGUCUGCCGGGGGGAGCGUCUGUGUGCUAGUGUCCGGGUGUGUUCGUGUUCCACAGAAGCGGUGUCGCACAAAACAAACGCAUGAUGUGCGCAGUGCAAUUGCUUUUGGGGUGAAUGAGAGGGAUUUGGUGAGGGGGGUGGUUUCUGCCCGGUGUGUGGUGGCGAGAAGCCAAACCGGGCAGACCAAGUGAAGCAGCAUCCCGGUUGCUGCUGGCUGGUGGUCGGUAAGCUUGGGUGCAGAGACGCCAAGUUUCCGGCCAUCUGGCAAUCCCCCCUUUUUGAUAUUGCCCUCCCCCGGACAGUGAGCGUGUGCGUGCGUGCCGUGCUGUGCGUCUGUGUGAGUGCGUGUGCUAUGUGUGGUUGCAAAUUUAUAACCGGUGUUGCUCAACACCGCUUGUGCAGCUCGGUUGGUUCGCCUCCCCGCGCAAAACACGCCCCGUAUCUCAAAGGGCUGUUUUAAGCGAAGGCUCCAGGAGCUUGCCGACUGACCGGAGCUUAAAACAAGUUUUGAAGUAGGGAGCAGUGUUUGAGCGGGAGGUGGUUCAGUUGCAGGGGGUAAGAAGUGCAGGGCCCGGGGUUUCGUGUGUCGCUCUGAAGGCCGCAUGCAUCACAUCGAGGUCUCAAAUGCUGUCUUUCUGUGUGGUUUGUUUUAUAAAGUUACGUUUGCGUACGGUAGCUGAUGAGCGAGCAACUUAUGCCGCCGUGCUUCGGAAAGCUAUCGAGUUCCUGGUUCGGAGGCCGCGUGCGCUUGCUGGCGCUCUCUUUUGUUGCAAAUGGCAGCGAGCAGCGCCACGGCCCACAGUUUGGGCCGCGAGCAUGCUCGCGCGUGCUCGGGUCGGGGCUCAGGGCGCUGUAGCCAGCGUACAAGCACUCUUAACUCUUGUUGUAUUGCAUAGGAUACUUCAGCGCUUCGGCCGGGCUAAAUGGCAGCGUACAGCGCCACGGCCCACAGUUUGGGCCGCGAGCAUGCUCGCAUCAGGGUGUCGCGCUCAGGGCGCUAUAGCCAGCGUGGGGACAUCUACAAUGUAUAAAAUACUUCGUGCAGCGCAUUAGCAAUGCAGGAUACAAUUCAAACCGCGUGUCAGCGCGCUUAGAAGCACGUGUUAUGCCCGCAUGCCAAUUCAAGGGUGGGGACACCUGCCUUGCCUACUAUUAAAGCGGCGUGUUUCCACGCCUCAAAUUUCGCUGGGAUCAAAUGGUUCAGGGCAUGUGUGCCCCUGCUGUAUCUGCUGCAUAUGCUAGUGUCCAAACCAAGUGUUUGGUGUCACACACCAGCUAUCAUUUGCUACCAGUGCUGCCGCCUUACCACCCUCCUGCGUGACCGCAGCAUGCCAUGGGCCCAGAGUAUGGUUUUUUUUACAGAAUGGUAAACAUGCACAGAUCCCCCAUAUGCGGCCACUCGCUUACUGGGCAGGGAUCUCGCUUACCAACCUCUGUGCUACGCCAACAGGCAAACACCAUCCUGAUUGAAGCCUUUGUGCGAGACUGGCAUUCCUGGUUCUGUCUGGAAGGCCGGAACUUCUCAACUCGACAUAUCGACCACGGCAGAGGUUGCUUAGCGAUAAGUUGGUGUGUAACGUCGGUUCAGACCCGAGUUCGAUCCUCCCCAAAUUCGGUACAGGGGAAAC
rnacentral:lncRNA from 1 species